rnacentral:lncRNA from 1 species
CGUCACACCAAUCUCCAGAGGAGACAAAACCAGCAACAUACAGAAACACAAAUCUGAAAAGAAAUGAAGAACCAUCUUUGCCUUAGGAUGUGGCAAAUGGAGCUUUGGAACUGAUUCAUAUUCAAAAGAAGGAUCUCCUGCCCUAGCAACACAGCAAGACCUCAUUUCUACAAAAUAGAAAAAAAAUAGCCAGGUGUGGUGGUGAGUGCCUGUAGUCCCAGCUACUCGGGAGGCUGAGAUGGGAGGAUCGCUUGAGCCUACGAGAUCAAGGCUGCGGUGACCCAUGAUUAUGCCAUUACACUCCAGCCUGGGCAACAGUGUGAGACCUUGUCUCAAAAAAA